UGGACCAAUCAGCAGGAUGUGGGCAGGGCCAAAUAAGGGAAUAAAAGCUGGCCACCAGAGCCAGGAGUGGCAACCCACUCCGGUCCCCUUCCACGCUGUGGAAGCUUUGUUCUUUCACUCUUCACAGUACAUUUUGCUCCCUCUUUGGAUCUGUACUACCUUUAUGAGCUGUAACACUCACUGUGAAGGUAUGCAGCUUCACUCCUGAAGUCAGACCACGAACCCACCCAGGGGGGGAACAAACAACUUCAGACAUGCCACCUUUAAGAGCUGUAACACUCACUGUGAAGGUCUGUGGUUUCAUUCCUGAAGUCAGCAAGACCAUGAACACACCCAAAGGAAGGAACUCUGGACACAUCUGAACGUCUGAAGGAACAAACUCCAGACACACCAUCUCUAAGAACUGUAACACUCACCACGAGGAUCCACAGCUUCAUUCUUGAAGUCAGCGAGACAAAGAACCCACCGGAAGGAACCAAUUCUGGGCACAAUGAGGUUCCUGACCAAGGGGAGUAAAGGAGAUGGAAUGAAGCUUGUGUGCUGUACUUCAAGUCAUGCAUCCAGUACCAUUUUCCUGCACAUAAAGCGCUAUCUAUUCAUUAAGAUUUCUAGUUGCAGAGCUGGAUCCAUCCAUAAAAAGAACCAUUUUUCUAAUUUAUAGAAAGAUGUCUCAUGGCCUAGAAACAGGCCUUGAGCAAGAGCAAGCCCUGCCUUUCUCAUAUAGAAUAUGUACUGUUUUCU
rnacentral:lncRNA from 1 species